rnacentral:sRNA from 1 species
ACACGUAUGAACGAUUAUGACCUGAAGC